rnacentral:rRNA from 1 species
UACGUAGGGCGCGAGCGUUGUCCGGAAUUAUUGGGCGUAAAGAGCUCGUAGGUGGUUUGUCGCGUUGUUCGUGAAAACUCACAGCUCAACUGUGGGCGUGCGGGCGAUACGGGCAGACUGGAGUACUGCAGGGGAGACUGGAAUUCCUGGUGUAGCGGUGGAAUGCGCAGAUAUCAGGAGGAACACCGGUGGCGAAGGCGGGUCUCUGGGCAGUAACCGACGCUGAGGAGCGAAAGCGUGGGGAGCGAACAGG